AGUCGAACGGCAGCACGGACUUCGGUCUGGUGGCGAGUGGCGAACGGGUGAGUAAUGCGCCGGAACGUAUCCAGUAGAGGGGGAUAACGCAGCGAAAGCUGUGCUAAUACCGCAUACGCCCUGAGGGGGAAAGCAUGGGAUCUUCGGACCAUGCGUUAUUGGAGCGGCCGACGUCUGAUUAGCUAGUAGGUGAGGUAAAGGCUCACCUAGGCGAUGAUCAGUAGCUGGUCUGAGAGGAUGAUCAGCCACACUGGAACUGAGAGACGGUCCAGACUCCUACGGGAGGCAGCAGUGGGGAGUUUUGGACAAUGGGCGCAAGCCUGAUCCAGCCAUUCCGCGUGAGUGAAGAAGGCCUUCGGGUUGUAAAGCUCUUUCGGCAGGGAAGAAAAGGUUCUGGUUAAUAACUGGAACUGCUGACGGUACCUGAAGAAGAAGCACCGGCUAACUACGUGCCAGCAGCCGCGGUAAUACGUAGGGUGCGAGCGUUAAUCGGAAUUACUGGGCGUAAAGGGUGCGCAGGCGGCUCUGUAAGUCUGACGUGAAAUCCCCGGGCUUAACCUGGGAACUGCGUUGGAAACUGUAGAGCUAGAGUGUAGCAGAGGGGGGUAGAAUUCCACGUGUAGCAGUGAAAUGCGUAGAGAUGUGGAGGAAUACCGAUGGCGAAGGCAGCCCCCUGGGUUAACACUGACGCUCAGGCACGAAAGCGUGGGUAGCAAACAGGAUUAGAUACCCUGGUAGUCCACGCCCUAAACGAUGUCAACUAGUUGUUGGGGAGGGAGACCUCCUUGGUAACGCAGCUAACGCGUGAAGUUGACCGCCUGGGG
rnacentral:rRNA from 1 species